rnacentral:rRNA from 1 species
CCUACGGGAGGCAGCAGUCGAGAAUCAUUCACAAUGGGGGAAACCCUGAUGGUGCGACGCCGCGUGGGGGAAUGAAGGUCUUCGGAUUGUAAACCCCUGUCAUGUGGGAGCAAAUUAAAAAGAUAGUACCACAAGAGGAAGAGACGGCUAACUCUGUGCCAGCAGCCGCGGUAAUACAGAGGUCUCAAGCGUUGUUCGGAAUCACUGGGCGUAAGGCGUGCGUAGGCUGUUUCGUAAGUCGUGUGUGAAAGGCGCGGGCUCAACCCGCGGACGGCACAUGAUAUUGCGAGACUAGAGUAAUGGAGGGGGAACCGGAAUUCGCGGUGUAGCAGUGAAAUGCGUAGAUAUCGAGAGGAACACUCGUGGCGAAGGCGGGUUCCUGGACAUUAACUGACGCUGAGGCACGAAGGCCAGGGGAGCGAAAGGGAUUAGAUACCCGAGUAGUC